rnacentral:rRNA from 1 species
CCAGAGAACUUAGCAGAGAUGCUUUGGUGCCUUCGGGAACUCUGAGACAGGUGCUGCAUGGCUGUCGUCAGCUCGUGUUGUGAAAUGUUGGGUUAAGUCCCGCAACGAGCGCAACCCCUAUCCUUUGUUGCCAGCGAUUCGGUCGGGAACUCAAAGGAGACUGCCGGUGAUAAACCGGAGGAAGGUGGGGAUGACGUCAAGUCAUCAUGGCCUUACGAGUAGGGCUACACACGUGCUACAAUGGCGCAUACAAAGAGAAGCGACCUCGCGAGAGCAAGCGGACCUCAUAAAGUGCGUCGUAGUCCGGAUUGGAGUCUGCAACUCGACUCCAUGAAGUCGGAAUCGCUAGUAAUCGUAGAUCAGAAUGCUACGGUGAAUACGUUCCCGGGCCUUGUACACACCGCCCGUCACACCAUGGGAGUGGGUUGCAAAAGAAGUAGAUAGCUUAACCUUCGGGAGGGCGUUUACCACUUUGUGAUUCAUGACUGGGGUGAAGUCGUAACAAGGUAAGCGUAGCGAG